GACGAACGCUGGCGGCGUGUUUAACACAUGCAAGUCGAGCGAGUUGAUUCCCUUCGGGGAUGAAGCUAGCGGCGGACGGGUGAGUAACACGUGGGCAACCUGCCUUAUAGAGGGGGAUAGCCUUCCGAAAGGAAGAUUAAUACCGCAUAACAUCAGAUUAUCGCAUGGUAGACUGAUCAAAGGAGUAAUCCGCUAUAAGAUGGGCCCGCGUCGCAUUAGCUAGUUGGUGAGGUAACGGCUCACCAAGGCGACGAAGCGUAGCCGACCUGAGAGGGUGAUCGGCCACAUUGGGACUGAGACACGGCCCAGACUCCUACGGGAGGCAGCAGUGGGGAAUAUUGCACAAUGGGGGAAACCCUGAUGCAGCAACGCCGCGUGAGUGAUGAAGGCCUUCGGGUUGUAAAGCUCUUUGAUCAGGGACGAUAAUGACGGUACCUGAGGAACAAGCCACGGCUAACUACGUGCCAGCCGCCGCGGUAACAC
rnacentral:rRNA from 1 species